rnacentral:lncRNA from 1 species
AUAUAUCUUCUGAUUCAACCAAGUGAAAAUGUGGCUUCAGAGGAGGUGACAAAGUGUGACCAUACCCAAAGCCAAGUUCUGCAACUUGACUCUGAGAGCCUGCUGUCUCCACUGAAUUUGAUUAUGUGCUAUCAGGAGAAUCCAUCUACUGCCUGCAGCUGUCGAGCUCCUCUCCUGGGUUGUUCACGACUCCCCAGAAGACCCCAGAAAGAAAAUGGCACAACACUCGAUCCUGCCAGACACCCAGGAAGAUUUCAGGUCCUGUAGUGUGUGCUUUCAAGACCUGGGGACUAAAGGCUGAUCCAGCUCUUGGAAUAAGGCCUUGUCCUGAGUUCAGCAUCCUGAGGACAUCCACAUGAAUGAGGGAGGUCUGUAACUCACAUCCUCAGAUUCAGUCAUGCAUGACUGAAUGUUCUGAGUAAGCACACACACACACGCACUCUCUCAUGCAUGUACACACUCAACACAUUCACGAACAUACUCUAUUAUAACUUCUAUCUCAUUACAUCAGUUUAAACAUAUUCCUUUCUCCACUAUGAGAUUGAGCUCUCCUGGAUGGCAGGUAGUACAUAUUGUUCAUCUCUAGUUCUCCGGGACCUAUACAAAGGCUUAUAGAUGAAGUGCCAAGAACACUUAUGAAUGGAUAA